rnacentral:rRNA from 1 species
GAUGAACGCUGGCGGCGUGCUUGACACAUGCAAGUCGAACGGUGAAAGAGGAGCUUGCUCCUCUGGAUCAGUGGCGAACGGGUGAGUAACACGUGAGUAACCUGCCCUUGACUCUGGGAUAAGCACUGGAAACGGUGUCUAAUACCGGAUACGAGCUUCAGCCGCAUGGCUAGGAGCUGGAAAGAAUUUCGGUCAAGGAUGGACUCGCGGCCUAUCAGCUAGUUGGUGAGGUAAUGGCUCACCAAGGCGACGACGGGUAGCCGGCCUGAGAGGGUGACCGGCCACACUGGGACUGAGACACGGCCCAGACUCCUACGGGAGGCAGCAGUGGGGAAUAUUGCACAAUGGGCGCAGGCCUGAUGCAGCAACG